ACGGCUCAGUAACACGUGGAUAACCUGCCCUUGGGUCCGGCAUAACCCCGGGAAACUGGGGAUAAUUCCGGAUAACGCACAUAUGCUGGAAUGCUUUAUGCGUAAAAUGGAUUCGUCUGCCCAAGGAUGGGUCUGCGACCUAUCAGGUAGUAGUGGGUGUAAUGUACCUACUAGCCAACGACGGGUACGGGUUGUGAGAGCAAGAGCCCGGAGAUGGAUUCUGAGACAUGAAUCCAGGCCCUACGGGGCGCAGCAGGCGCGAAAACUUUACAAUGCGGGAAACCGUGAUAAGGGGACACCGAGUGCCAGCGUCAUAUGCUGGCUGUCCAGGUGUGUAAAAUACACCUGUUAGCAAGGGCCGGGCAAGACCGGUGCCAGCCGCCGCGGUAACACCGGCGGCCCGAGUGGUGAUCGUGAUUAUUGGGUCUAAAGGGUCCGUAGCCGGUUUGGUCAGUCCUCCGGGAAAUCUGACAGCUCAACUGUUAGGCUUUCGGAGGAUACUGCCAGACUUGGAACCGGGAGAGGUAAGAGGUACUACAGGGGUAGGAGUGAAAUCUUGUAAUCCCUGUGGGACCACCUGUGGCGAAGGCGUCUUACCAGAACGGGUUCGACGGUGAGGGACGAAAGCUGGGGGCACGAACCGGAUUAGAUACCCGGGUAGUCCCAGCCGUAAACGAUGCUCGCUAGGUGUCAGGCAUGGCGCGACCGUGUCUGGUGCCGCAGGGAAGCCGUGAAGCGAGCCACCUGGGAAGUACGGCCGCAAGGCUGAAACUUAAAGGAAUUGGCGGGGGAGCAC
rnacentral:rRNA from 1 species